AAGACUAAAUGUAUGUCUGCAGGCACAGAAAGGAUGUGUGACCUAAGGAUGUACAUGUAUUUGCCAAAAUUUGUUAAAAUCUCUUUGUUUUGCAGAGCUGACUGUGCUUAAAUUGCAGAAUUGAAGGUGUCUGAGCAGUUUUCUUUAUGCCUGUGUGUCUGUGUCACAGACAAAUGGUCACAGACAGCUUCAUUCCUGGCAGCUGUGCCUUAGUGCACAGGGUAAUGGAUGUCCAGAGGGUUGUGGGCUGCUAUGCUGUAGGAGAUGAAGCUGGAAUGAGAUCCUGGUUGGGGUUCUAGGAUGGCUUUCCUGAUGCUGUCUGCCCUCCUUGAGGAGCAAUAGGUUGUUUAGCAGCAAUCUGGCCGUCAGGCAUUACAUUCUUGCCUUAAACUGCUCCCAUCAGCUUUAGCUUCAUCUCAAAGGAGAAAUCAGUGUGGUGUAGUUUUACUGUCUGCAUGCUGGCAGCUGCUCAUCACGAGCUUAUUGGGCUCAUUUAGACCCAAACAGGAAACACUAACUUGCCGUUUGGAGUUUUCCUCAUGCUGCUCCUACAAAAGUCCAGUGCACUCUCGGCUAGAUGUUUCAUUUGCUGUGGGAAUUUGCUUUGGCUAAUGCAGUUUUUAAGACCUGUUGGUUCAGUCAGAGGUCGAGGAACAUUUAUGUAAGAGAGCCCUCAAUAACAUUCCUUUAACUUGGCAAGUUGAAAAAGCACAGCACCAUUUUUUUCUCCUCUUUGGAGUAUUAAAUUUUUUGCAUGGAUCCUCUUGAUUUCCAGAGAGUAAAAUUGCUUUAGGAGUCUGGAUACAGUAUGAUGUGAAGGUAGAGACAGGCAGUGUGGGUUCAUUUCCAUUGACUGCCCCAUCUCUCUAUUAAUGAGGGUUAUUCCCAAACCCCAGACACUAAGUUUGCAGGUAGACAGAGGUGAGAUUUGCCUAACUUUCAGUAUUCCACCUUUCUGCUGCUGGGAAUUUUCUUGCAUCCAAACAUGGUGGAGAUGGCAGAUGUGAGGGAAGGCUCUAUGUUCUCUGUGUGUAGCUGAUUCUCUUCACUGGAAAUGCCACAGUAUUUUGGUGUUUUCUAUCUCACACUUGCUAGGAGAAGAAAUUCUCCAAAGCAUUUAACUUCUCUCAAGUCCUUAAAAACCUCCUCACUUUUUGGUAAAUUCCACAUUAAAAGCAUCAGGUUAGGAAGCAUUUGUACUGAUCUCUUUCCCCUGAAAGUCAGACAGACUCCUGCCAGAUGCAGCAAGGUAGGUUGGAGGCUGAUCUUCCUGAGCUGCCUCAUGUGAGUUCAAGCAAUAGGAAAAUCAAUGUCUCUCCAGAGUGUUUUGGGGUCUUUUGUUACAUUAAAUGCUCUUUCUUGCCCUUUCAUAUGCAAUUAUUUGAUUGCGUAGGCACGAAAUUGAUAUUGGGAUUAUGUAAAACUGAAGGAGGAGGAAAAUCAGGGACACUGCUGAGACGCAGGGGGAGAUCCCUGGCUCUCUCCUAUGAUUUCAGGUAUCAUAGAAACACUUGAAGGAAAGCUGCCCUUGAUUUUAUUUGCCUCCUCCUUGCCAUUUCCUUUGGGACAGAAUGAUAUUGAUUGUUUUAUCAUCCCAUUUUAUUGACAGAUACUGUGCUCUGCAGAUGUGAGCCCUGGUUUAAAAACAAAAGUGUGUCCUAUUGUGGAAUGAUGGACUUGUGUCAAAGCUGUCUUGUUAGGAGAGGUUUCCUGAAUCAUGCUGGGAUAUUAUUCCAUAGAGGGCUAGCUGACAUGACAAGAACCAGGGUGAACAGUGCCAGUGUGUGGACUCUCCUGGAGAAAUCACCUGGGCAGUGAGGCAAAUGACACAAGGAAGGGAAUUGAAAUAACAAAAAUUAAAAAAAAAAAAAAAAUUGGUGAGAUGUCUGCAUUUAAGAGAGUAGUUCUGGAGUAAUACUUGAAAUGACUAUGGGGUCAGCUCUGUCACUCCACUACUGCUUUCUCAGGACCAGUGCUUUUUACUCACACAGGAUUUUUAUGAUUAAGAGAAGCGAGCAUCCACUUACUCGGUACCCCAGUAACAUGAGAGCAUUCCCACUGCUCCAAACUGAGAAGCAAUAAUGCAUGUUUGAUAUGGCCAGUUCUGUUCCUUAUCCCAGGAAAGCUGCCUGCUGAAAAUGCUGCAUUUUGCAGGUUUUUCUGGGGGGAAAAAGACAGCAGAUGUGAUAUUUUCAUGUGAGAGAAACCCAGGUGAUGAGAAAAUGUUGUUUUGUAAAGUUCUGAAAAAAUCUCUUUUGACCUUGAAUUGUGUUCAGCCCUUUUUCUCUUACUGCACUCCUUGUAGUUCUACCUGUGGUGAAUUAAUCUCUUUGUUAGCUACGUCUGAGUGCUCAGGAAAAUGGAUCCCUCAGCUGGGUGAGCAUCCCAGCAUUGUUUUUGUGCAAAGUGAUAUCACCAUUUUUAAUAGCACAUCCUGGGAGGUGGCUAAAGCUUCUCACUGCUGAGAGGGACAUGGCUGGGCUUUAAAUGAGGUUUGCAAACAGUAGCAUAGUAAGUAUAUUCUAGUGCCUAAACACACACACGUGUGUACACACACACUUCUGUCUCUUUCUUUUACAUGUGUGAGCCUUAAGAAAUUCUGCAGUUUUGCUGCUUAUGUAGUAGCUGAUUUUCUGUCUGUAACAGGAAAAAUUGUGAUUUUUAACACUAUUUUUGUGGAAACUCAUGUCUGUCCAGAACUGCAAGGAAAAACUGCUGUUGUAAAGAAAGUGCCAUUUGGGGAGGUUUUGGAGUAGAGGAAAGCUCCAGUUGGAAGCACAAAGUCAGUACUCAGGGGAGGGCAACCCUGCCCAAAGGAGCCUUCAGGAAACCAGACCUGCAGUUCCUUUCUGAGGUACUGAGUGCAGGUGAGCAGCUGUGGG